GACGAACGCUGGCGGCAUGCCUAAUACAUGCAAGUCGAACGCAGUGGGGACGGGUGAGUAACACGUGGGUAACCUCCCAUCAGAGGGGAUAACACUUGGCAACAGGUGCUAAACCGAUACUGAUGGAUGGACCCGCGGUGCAUUAGCUGGUUGGUGAGGUAACGGCUCACCAAGGCCACGAUGCAGAGCCGACCUGAGAGGGUGAUCGGCCACACUGGAACUGAGACACGGCCCAGACUCCUACGGGAGGCAGCAGUAGGGAAUGUUCGGCAAUGGACGAAAGUCUGACCGAGCAACGCCGCGUGAGUGAAGAAGGUUUUCGGCUUGUAAAACUCUGUUGUUAGAGAAGCGUUAUCUAACCAGAAAGCCACGGCUAACUACGUGCCAGCCGCCGCGGUAAUAC
rnacentral:rRNA from 1 species